rnacentral:rRNA from 1 species
GACGAACGCUGGCGGCGUGCUUAACACAUGCAAGUCGAACGGAAAGGCCCUGCUUUUGUGGGGUGCUCGAGUGGCGAACGGGUGAGUAACACGUGAGUAACCUGCCCUUGACUUUGGGAUAACUUCAGGAAACUGGGGCUAAUACCGGAUAGGAGCUCCUGCUGCAUGGUGGGGGUUGGAAAGUUUCGGCGGUUGGGGAUGGACUCGCGGCUUAUCAGCUUGUUUGUGGGGUAGUGGCUUACCAAGGCUUUGAAGGGUAGCCGGCCGGAGAGGGUGAACGGCGACCUUGGGACUAAGAGACGGCGCAGACUCCUACGGGAGGCAACAGUGGGGAAUAUUGCACAAUGGGGGGAAGCCGGAUGCAGCAACGCCGCGUGCGGGAUGACGGCCUUCGGGGUGUAAACCGAUGUCGCCUGUAACGAAGCGUGAGUGACGGUAAUAGAUAAAGAAGCACCGGCUAACUACGUG